rnacentral:rRNA from 1 species
UACGGAGGGUGCGAGCGUUAAUCGGAAUACUGGCGUAAAGCGCACGCAGGCGGUUUGUAAGCAAGAUGUGAAAGCCCCGGGCUCAACCUGGGAACUGCAUUUUGAACUGGCAGACUAGAGUCUUGGAGAGGGGGGUGGAAUUCCAGGUGUAGCGGUGAAAUGCGUAGAGAUCUGGAGGAACAUCAGUGGCGAAGGCGGCCCCCUGGCCAAAGACUGACGCUCAUGUGCGAAAGUGUGGGUAGCGAACAGGAUUAGAUACCCCGUGU